rnacentral:rRNA from 1 species
AUUGAACGCUGGCGGCAUGCCUUACACAUGCAAGUCGAACGGUAACAGGUCUUCGGAUGCUGACGAGUGGCGAACGGGUGAGUAAUACAUCGGAACGUGCCCGAGAGUGGGGGAUAACGUAGCGAAAGCUACGCCAAUACCGCAUACGAUCUACGGAUGAAAGCGGGGGAUCGCAAGACCUCGCGCGAUUGGAGCGGCCGAUGGCAGAUUAGGUAGUUGGUGGGGUAAAGGCUCACCAAGCCAACGAUCUGUAGCUGGUCUGAGAGGACGACCAGCCACACUGGGACUGAGACACGGCCCAGACUCCUACGGGAGGCAGCAGUGGGGAAUUUUGGACAAUGGGCGCAAGCCUGAUCCAGCCAUUCCGCGUGCAGGAUGAAGGCCCUCGGGUUGUAAACUGCUUUUGUACGGAACGAAACGGCCUUUUCUAAUACAAGAGGCUAAUGACGGUACCGUAAGAAUAAGCACCGGCUAACUACGUGCCAGCCGCCGCGGUAACAC